AAGGCCAAUCCACCCCCGCCCUGCAGCCGCUGGGCCCCGCUCCUCCUCCGGUUGUUUGCAGAUGCAGAAAGAGCAACACAGACUGUUAGUGUACUGUAGAGUUGUGUGCUGAGACACAGCUUUACACCAUCAGGAUGUUCAGUGAACACAGUAACCUAGGUCUACACCAAUGUUCUUUCAAAGGAUUUGGCUCCAUAUGUUCUCUGGCUGCUGGAUAAGUCUGACAGCCUCCAUCACUGUCAGAGUUGGAGUGGACCACAGCUGGACUUCUUGGUUGCAUGGGAGAAGGUAUUGAGCUCAUAGGGUAAGCUCUGCUGUCAGUCAGUGCUGAGAUUGCACAGAAUAACCAGAAGUCAUUUCUGAGCUGGUGAAACAAGAACACAUGGUGACUUCUGUUCAACUCUUCCCUCUACAUGCCACCUUCCUACUGCUUAUUCAGAAACUAAUUUGACUAUACACUAAGGGCUUAAAAAAAUAAAAAUAAAUAGAAGUAAAGCAAGACCAAAUUCUGCAAGACAAGGUUGAAAGAGGAUUAUGCAUGAGAAGCUCCCAGCUAAACGGAAAUACAGGGCUGUUCUGCAGC